AUUGAACGCUGGCGGCAUGCCUUACACAUGCAAGUCGAACGGCAGCACGGGGGCAACCCUGGUGGCGAGUGGCGAACGGGUGAGUAAAGCAUCGGAACGUACCCGGAAGUGGGGGAUAACGUAGCGAAAGUUACGCUAAUACCGCAUAUUCUGUGAGAAGGAAAGCAGGGGACCGCAAGGCAUUGCGCUUUCGGAGCGGCCGAUGUCGGAUUAGCUAGUUGGUGGGGUAAAGGCCUACCAAGGCGACGAUCCGUAGCGGGUCUGAGAGGAUGAUCGGCCACACUGGGACUGAGACACGGCCCAGACUCCUACGGGAGGCAGCAGUGGGGAAUUUUGGACAAUGGGGGCAACCCUGAUCCAGCCAUGCCGCGUGAGUGAAGAAGGCCUUCGGGUUGUAAAGCUCUUUCGGCCGGGAAGAAAUCGCGCUCUCUAAUACAGGGUGUGGAUAACGGUACCGGAAUAAGAAGCACCGGCUAACUACGUGCCAGCCGCCGCCGUAAUAC
rnacentral:rRNA from 1 species